rnacentral:rRNA from 1 species
UACGGAGGGGGCUAGCGUUGUCCGGAUUUAUUGGGCGUAAAGAGCUCGUAGGCGGCUCACUAAGUCGGAUGUGAAAACUCCAGGCUCAACCUGGAGACGCCAUUCGAUACUGGUGUGGCUUGAGUUCGGUAGGGGAGCACGGAAUUCCUGGUGUAGCGGUGAAAUGCGUAGAUAUCGCUUGGAACGCCAACGGUGAAAACAGGUUGCUGGGGGUGUGGCUGACGCUGAGACACGAAAGCCAGGGGAGCGGAACGGG